AGCAUAAAAAUUCAUCUACUUGAUCUUAUCUGAGCAGUAAAAGAAGCCGCCGCUGCUAAUUUCUCAAUUGGCAGUCCAACUAAGGCGUUGCCCACCUUCGCCGGUGUUCUGGUAGCGGUUCUCUACUGGAUUGCCUUGAGAAGUGCGGUGUUUCUUCACUGCAAUGAAGACUGCCUGCCUGCCUCCUGAGUCCAUCACACAUUCUUCUGACAUUGUUAGAAGGGACUAUGAUGGAAGAGCGGGCUCGCCCCACCCACCAGUCCAUUGUUUCUUUUCUUAUAUGCUGUUGAACUGUUUGAUGAUUUGCUUCAAUGGAAUUUUUUUUCUUCUUAGUUCUGUAUAGCUAAUUAGGAAUUUGGGUAUUCAUUUUUCUCUCUUGAAUUUUGUUGCUUGCAGUAGAUAACGGUGGGAACUUGAAGAAAUCUAUAUCUGUUCUCAUUGAAAAGGUGUUGGCACUGUAAGAAGCUUACACUGGAGAAAUGGGUUGGAACUUUAAGGAGGCCAAAAUGUUCUUAUUGGAAAGAGUUGACACUUCAAAGUUUGGAUUUCCCAGUUUGUUGGCUUCAAAAUUCCUACAGAGUUGACACCAGCAACUUUGGGGAGUUUAUGCGAAAUUCACUCUUUGUUUUUUGAAGCUGAUUGGCUAACUUUGGCCAAUAAACUUUGGAAAACAACGGGAGUAAAUGUCUUUUGUUAAGAAACAUGUUUCUGACAUCAACGACAAUGUCAAUGCAAGGAUCCAGGAUAAGGAGGUGUCCCACCAGACCAGCAGAGGUUGAUAUUUUAGUACCCUUGAAUCUUUGAUGCCUACAGAAGUCUACGUUGCACUAGGUGUCGUGUCUACAUGGUAGUAUGCAGAUUUUUGUGAGGACCUCGGCUGGGAACCAUCCUUCAGAGCUUGGAGCCAAAAUGCCAGCUUGCUUUUAGGUGGCAAUUGGGGUUUUUAGCUGCAGUUGUGCAGGAGUUACAGUUACCACUUAUCUAUUAGUUUUGAAAUGGCUUCAUGUAGGAAUUAGGAUAGGAACAGGCAAACUUCUGUCUCCUCUGUCGAUGAUUAAAUGAUUUUGUAUGCAUCAUAGAUUAUACCAUAUGAACUGCUUUGAGGGUCAAGUUUUA